rnacentral:tRNA from 1 species
GGGCUGGCCUCAGUGGCAGAGCACUUGCCUUGCAUGUAUGAGGCACUGGGUUCGAUCCUCAGCAACACA